UACGUAGGGUGCAAGCGUUAAUCGGAAUUACUGGGCGUAAAGCGUGCGCAGGCGGUGAUGUAAGACAGGUGUGAAAUCCCCGGGCUUAACCUGGGAACUGCAUUUGUGACUGCAUCGCUGGAGUGCGGCAGAGGGGGAUGGAAUUCCGCGUGUAGCAGUGAAAUGCGUAGAUAUGCGGAGGAACACCGAUGGCGAAGGCAAUCCCCCUGGGCCUGCACUGACGCUCAGGCACGAAAGCGUGGGGAGCAAACAGGG
rnacentral:rRNA from 1 species